AUUGACUUAUAGAUAGAUUUAAAUGAUAUUUUUACUAAAGAUCAACUGAAAAUCAUUUAUUGAAAGUACACAAAUCGCAAUUUUCUGAUAAAAGUUGCCUGCAACGACCAAUACACUCUUGAUGUGCAUUCACAAUAUCUAGGAAACUUCCGAGUGAACUAUGAUGCAAAGUUCCAUUGCAAUCGUAUACAAAUGUAUAAUAAAAUAUGUGAGACAAACAACACCAACAAGUUUUUGGUUGAGUGGAUAACAUGUAUUAUCCCCGUCUUACUAACGUAUUACAUAACAGAAAUAUACGUUACAUGAAACAUAAAUUAUAGCGUCUGUAUUGACAUUGGAAUUUAAUCGCAUGUAUCACAAUGUAAAGAAUUAAAACUCUUUAAAAAAUACAAAACUCUCAUGGCUGUAACUUUUUUGUCGAACAGUUUCUUUUUAAAAAAUAUAAAGCUUCGUAUUGCCCUCGAAAAU